UACGAAGGGGGCUAGCGUUGCUCGGAAUCACUGGGCGUAAAGCGUCACGUAGGCGGAUUGCUAAGUCAGGGGUGAAAUCCUGGAGCUCAACUCCAGAACUGCCCUUGAUACUGGCGGUCUCGAGUCCGGGAGAGGUGAGUGGAACUGCGAGUGUAGAGGUGAAAUUCGUAGAUAUUCGCAAGAACACCAGUGGCGAAGGCGGCUCACUGGCCCGGUACUGACGCUGAGGUGCGAAAGCGUGGGGAGCA
rnacentral:rRNA from 1 species